rnacentral:rRNA from 1 species
UAGGGAAUCUUGCGCAAUGGGCGAAAGCCUGACGCAGCCAUGCCGCGUGAAUGAUGAAGGUCUUAGGAUUGUAAAAUUCUUUCACCGGGGAAGAUAAUGACGGUACCCGGAGAAGAAGCCCCCGGCUAACUUCGUGCCAGCAGCCGCGGUAAUACGAAGGGGGGCUAGCGUUGCUCGGAAUUACUGGGCGUAAAGGGCGCGUAGGCGGACAUUUAAGUCAGAGGUGAAAGCCCCAGGGCUCAACCUUGGAAUUGCCUUUGAUACUGGAUGUCUUGAGUUCGGGAGAGGUGAGUGGAAUGCCGAGUGUAGAGGUGAAAUUCGUAGAUAUUCGGCGGAACACCAGUGGCGAAGGCGACUCACUGGCCCGAUACUGACGCUGAGGCGCGAAAGCGUGGGGAGCAAACAGGAUUAGAUACCCCUGGUAGUCCACGCCGUAAACGAUGAGUGCUAGUUGUCGGCAUGCAUGCAUGUCGGUGACGCAGCUAACGCAUUAAGCACUCCGCCUGGGGAGUACGGUCGCAAGAUUAAAACUCAAAUGAAUUGAC